AGCGGGGUAAGAUUUUUUUUUUUCAGUCAGGAUGUGGACUAUGAAUAGGGUCCCACUGGAAUGUUGCCGAUUUAAACAGCUAGAAUCAGA